UCGGUCUCUAUUUUUCAUAGGGUCCUCAUAACCGGAAUAUAACUGCAUAAAAGGGUCCUCAUAACCGGAAUACAACUGCAUAAUAGAAGUACGGUGGCCGAGUGGUUAAGGCGUUGGACUUAAGUUCCAAUGGAUGCCCGCUGCCUGCUGUGUUCGAACCCCAUCCGUACUGACAGUGCUUUAACAAUUUGUUCAACUUAGUCGACAAGUUCAAUCAUCUGUUUUAUUACCAACAACACAAGGGCCCAACGGUACCCGCCUUGCGCAUUUUCUUUUCACUUAGUGCUUUUCUGACUUUAGAGCAGAACAUUGUCCCCGCCAUCAAAUUCGCAGAUGAUACAGUGAUAAUAGGUUUAAUUAAGAACGGUAAUGAUAAUCACCACCAUAGAAACGGAAUUAGAAAAUUUGUGCAAUAUUAAUUUUUAGAACUUAAUGUACUUAAGACAAGCGAGAUGAUAAUCGACUACAGGAGAGUUAAAAAUAAACAAAACGAUGAUAUCAUUGAAAUUAUGGAUUGUAACAUCGAACCGGUCAAAAGUUAUAAGUAUCUCGGAGUAAUAUUUAAUGAUACAUUAGGUUGGAGCGACCACAUUUAUUAUAUAGUCUGAUUAAAAAUAUUAGGCUUAAUUCUAGAUUCUAUUGCAUGAGAAAGAUGAAUUCAUUCCAUGUUCGGCAAGACAUUUUGUCUAUUUUUUUUAUAAUACGGUCAUUUG